rnacentral:lncRNA from 1 species
UCCUUUGCUGAGAUGAAUGAGGCAUGUACAAUUCAUAGCUUUAGGGUGAUUUCUCGUAUAUUAUGUAGGAUGGGAUGUCAGGAAAAGUAGUUCGGACAGUAAGUUCGGACGAGGAAACAUGUAUGCUUGAAGAAGGCGGGUGCUUGAAGAGAGAAAGUAUGGUCAGGUAUAAAAAGUUGAAAAAUUAGAGUAAAAAGUAGAGAUGCAUGUGUAUUAGUGUUCAUUUUUUAUUAUUUGAUGAGGUCUACUAAUGAUAGCUUGCAUUGAAGAAAAAAAUAUCAAUAUAGAUGCCUCAAGCUAUUUUUUAUCAUGAGCCAUCUGCAUUCAUAUGCUAUCAUCGUACGUACAUGCCCUGACAGUGCUUUCCAUUUACCAUUAGAUCAUGGUAUACUGUCUCUGGUGAAAAAGGGUAAAUAUGUCGAUUUGACCUUUGGAGUGCAACCUAAUAGGUGCUUAGUUGAUUUUGUCCUGUUGUUUCUUACUCUUCUCAGAUUUUGGCCGGUGCAUCCGGUGCGUCUGUAUUUGUAAGGUUUAGGCUUCUGAGACUGCAUGCCUAUGUUUCCUAAGACUGACUGACAGGAUCCAAGCUCCAAGGCCAUAUAGCAUGUGCGAUUCUCAGGAACUGUUGAUUCGGUGUCCAUCUAUCCAUCCUGCUCUGCUCUGCUAAUCUAAAAUCACUACUUAUUUGCAGCACCAGGGCUUUCAUUUUAUAUAAGCCGGUGUAUCAGCCUAAUUUGUAUCAGCCUAAUUAGGUAUCGCCUUUGU